rnacentral:rRNA from 1 species
UACCAGCUCUCCGAGUGGUAGGGAUGAUUAUUGGGCUUAAAGCGUCCGUAGCCGGCUUAGCAAGUCUCCUGUUAAAUUCAGCGACCUAAUCGUUGAGCCGCGGGAGAUACUACUAGGCUAGGAGGCGGGAGAGGUCAACGGUACUUCCGGGGUAGGGGUGAAAUCCUAUAAUCCCGGGAGGACCACCAGUGGCGAAGGCUGUUGACUGGAACGCGCUCGACGGUGAGGGACGAAAGCUGGGGGAGCGAACCGGAUUAGAUACCCGGGUAGUCCCAGCUGUAAACGAUGCGAGCUAGGUGUUGGGGUGGCUACGUGCCACUUCAGUGCCGCAGGGAAGCCAUUAAGCUCGCCGCCUGGGGAGUACGGCCGCAAGGCUGAAACUUAAAGGAAUUGGCGGGGAGCACCACAAGGCGUGAAGCUUGCGGUUC